rnacentral:tRNA from 1 species
UAGGAAGUAGUGUAACGGAAGCGCUAAGAGUUUUGAUCUCUUGGGUAAGGGUUCAAUUCCCUUCUUUCUAA